GUUGAUCCUGCCGGAGGCUAUUGCUAUCAGGGUUUGACUAAGCCAUGCGAGUCGAGAGGUGAAAGACCUCGGCAUACUGCUCAGUAACACGUGGAUAAUCUGCCCUCAGAUGAGGAAUAAUCCCGGGAAACUGGGGCUAAUGCCUCAUAGGAGACGGGUGCUGGAAUGCUCUGUCUCUGAAAGGUCCGCCGUCUGAGGAUGAGUCUGCGUCCGAUUAGGUUGUUGUUGGGGUAACGGCCCACCAAGCCAUUGAUCGGUACGGGUUGUGGGAGCAAGAGCCCGGAGAUGGAUUCUGAGACAUGAAUCCAGGCCCUACGGGGCGCAGCAGGCGCGAAAACUUUACAAUGCGAGCAAUCGUGAUAAGGAAACCCUGAGUGCCUGUCAAUGCAGGCUGUUCUGGUGUUUAGUCCGCACCAGGAGAAAGGGCGGGGCAAGACCGGUGCCAGCCGCCGCGGUAAUACCGGCUGCUCGAGUGAUAGCCACUUUUACUGGGCUUAAAGCGUUCGUAGCUUGGUCGUUAAGUCUCUGGGGAAAUCUUCUGGCUUAACCAGAAGGCGUCUCAGAGAAACUGGCGACCUUGGGACCGGGAGAGGUAAGACGUACUUCGGGGGUAGGAGUGAAAUCUUGUAAUCCCCGAGGGACGACCGAUGGCGAAGGCAUCUUACCAGAACGGCUCCGACAGUGAGGGACGAAAGCUGGGGGAGCAAACCGGAUUAGAUACCCGGGUAGUCCCAGCCGUAAACGAUGUGCCUUAGGUGUGUCAGUGACCACGA
rnacentral:rRNA from 1 species